CUAUAUUCCCCUUAAACAGAUGAAAUAAUAAUACAAUAAAUAAAAGUUUGUUUCAAUUAUUUUCUAGCAGCUGCAGCAUUAGCUGGUGUAAAUCCGACCUGGUGAGGUGGUGAAACAGUCCUCACUCUCCCACAGGCUGCGGACUGACCAGAGGGCCCUUCGUUUAAGGACAUAUUCCGUUUGCCACAAGUGGAACUUAAUCAAGCAUGAAUAUUAGCUAUUUUCCUUUCAACUUGAGUUGAUGAAGCAUGACUUUUCCCUGCCCCCGCCUCUGGCCGCCCCUCAGACGGCGCUGCAGUCCGUCCCGUCGGUAGGAGCGGAUCCAUCACGCCAUUAUAGUCUCCGUCUAAAUCAGUGUCAUCUCGCGAGUCGGACCGGCUAAUGGGAGACUUAUCUGUUUGAUUACGAGCUCACCUGCCGCCUUGAGUCUGACGGUUCCGCCUCUUCACGUCUGUCAUCCGUCACCAUUAAGAUCCUCGGUGGCCGCUGCACCGAGAGAGGCUUCCCAAAUGGCCCGCAGCGGCGUGAAGCAGGGGAGAAAAAACAGAAAGACCGUGGGAGGAGGUAAAGGGAACCUCAGGUCAUGUCCCAUUUUGCACUCGUUGUGUGAUAUUCAGUUACACCAGGAAGGAUGGCAGACGCUGGAGCGUGUUCUCGAGGGGGGGGUU